rnacentral:rRNA from 1 species
ACAAGCGGUGGAGCAUGUGGUUAAUUCGAAGCAACGCGAAGAACCUUACCAGGUCUUGACAUCCCUGACACCCGAGAGAUCGGCGUUCCCCUUCGGGGGACAGGGUGACAGGUGGUGCAUGGUUGUCGUCAGCUCGUGUCGUGAGAUGUUGGGUUAAGUCCCGCAACGAGCGCAACCCUCGACCUUAGUUGCCAGCAUUCAGUUGGGCACUCUAAGGUGACUGCCGGCUAAAAGUCGGAGGAAGGUGGGGAUGACGUCAAAUCAUCAUGCCCCUUAUGACCUGGGCUACACACGUGCUACAAUGGGCGGUACAAAGGGUCGCGAACCCGCGAGGGGGAGCCAAUCCCAAAAAGCCGCUCUCAGUUCGGAUUGCAGGCUGCAACUCGCCUGCAUGAAGCCGGAAUCGCUAGUAAUCGCGGAUCAGCAUGCCGCGGUGAAUACGUUCCCGGGCCUU